rnacentral:lncRNA from 1 species
UUAGGCUGGUAAAAUAAUUCUCAUCCAACCCUUCACAGAGUGGGUGAAUCUGAUGCUUGAGAGAGACAACAGAAGAAGCAGGCCUUGAAGCUGGAAAGGUACGGUCUUACUGGUGGGAUUGUGCUGGCCAUCACAGGUUUUCUGGCCGAGCAGGGCCACCUCUUGAGCCUGCCGGAGGAUGCGGCGCUGUCCACUACAUGGGUGCUGACUCGUGCUACUUUGUUGGCUUAGAAACAUUUUUGUUGUUGCCUUAUUUUUUGUUUGGAGACAGGGCCUCGUGUGCGUGGGACGGCUUCCAGUUUUCUGUGUAGCCGAGGAUGACCUUGAACUCCCGAUUCUCCUGCUCUCAGCUCCCAAAUGCUGAGACUGCAGGCUUGUGCCAGCACCCUGAUUAUUGCAGUGCCGAGGACUGAACCCAGGGUUUCGUGUGUGCUGAGCAAGCAUUCUGCCAGCUGACCUCCAUCUCCAGUCCUGGGGCCAUGCUUUCAAGGCAGUUACUCAUUUCGUAGCCAGAGAUGGAGAGCCUUCUUACCAGACGUGGAUGGAAAAGUUAGACACAGAUAGUCAUGCAAAUGUCUUCUUCUCUGAGAAUAUCUCUCAGCAUAAUGAUGAACAGCUCCAAACCAGAAAAACAAGUGUCAGAAUCUAGCCAACUGGCUGGCCAGGCACUCUUGCAUGGUUCACCUGUCCUCAGGCAGUAGGCAGAGAUCCAGGAGAACCUCUAUUAGCCUGGGAUUAAUAAAUGAGCCAGCAGCACUGUCCAGGUAAUAGCCAGUCACAAAAGCCCAUGGCUGCUGGGGCAUAGCAGAACCUUGCUUGAGAUCUUCCAGCUUUUAACUUUAUCAGUAAUACAUAUCUAUAUCUAUCUGUAUAUAUACACAUUAUAUAUGUGCGUAUAUUAUAUAUAUUAUAUAUAUAUAUAUAUAUAUAUUUGUUAUAUAUUAAGAGUAGUGCCUAAUCUUUGGCUGUUGACGUAUGCUAAGCAUCAUGCUAAGUGCUGCCUUGCCUUUUCCAUUUACAGGGCGGAUGACAUAGAUCUCGUUCUCUUGUUAGGGAGUCUAAACUCAAGGAGUACCUCAGAUGAUGUGUGCUAUGUGGAAAAGCUGGGACCAAAACCACAAUCUCAAGAGCCUGCUUU